GCCGGCAGCUCUCACAUGGUCGCCCACUGAAGCUAAGCAUGGCUGUGCUUGGUCAGUACCUGGAUGGGAGACCACAUAGAAAAGCUAGGUUGCUGCUGGAA
rnacentral:rRNA from 1 species